AAGUAAUAGAACAGCUGGAAAAGUCUGGUAGGUUCAGAAAACAACAUCACUUUACUACCACAUUUCUACUGUA